rnacentral:rRNA from 1 species
UACGGGGGGGCAAGCGUUGUUCGGAAUUACUGGGGGUAAAGGGCUCGUAGGCGGCCAACUAAGUCAUACGUGAAAUCCCUCGGCUUAACCGGGGAACUGCGUCUGAUACUGGAUGGCUUGAGUUCGGGAGAGGGAUGCGGAAUUCCAGGUGUAGCGGUGAAAUGCGUAGAUAUCUGGAGGAACACCGGUGGCGAAGGCGGCAUCCUGGACCGAUACUGACGCUGAGGAGCGAAAGCCAGGGGAGCAAACGGG